rnacentral:lncRNA from 10 species
CCAUUUCCGGGCUGAAGCAUGGAGAAGCAGAGAAGCAUGUGAUCUCCCCGCAGUCUCUUCCGGUCUUGCGACCCAGAAGGCCUUGUGGUGACAUGGUGGAACUGAGCUGAGCUGGAAGCAGCCCAGGUUGCCAAAUUGUCACUUGGAAGACACCCCUGGCAACCUUUGUAGAGCAAAAUUUCACCCAAGGGGAUCUCCCAUUCCUCUUUCCUGGAAGAGACUCCAGGGUAAGCAAAAAAUAGAUCCCAUCUCACCUCUACAGGGUGUGAGAAUCCUACAGAACUCUUGGUGCAUUUUGUAAAACCACAAACUUCUUGAGUUUGGAAAGAAUUCUGGAGUCUUUCAGUCCUAAGUCACAGACCCCAGCAUUGAUUAUGGAGUCUACAGCAGCACAGAAUUCCAGAGUCACAGAAAUCAAAGCUCCAGGACAGUCCUGGAAAGAAACAGGAGAGCGUGGCCACCCAUCUGCCCAGCCACCAAGGCCUAACCCACCAGCGGGGCUAUAUUGGCUUCUUCUUGGGGACGCCCAGUACAGCAGGCCCCCUGGUCCUCCCUCCCCAGGCCUGUGUCUCACGUCCCCACAGUGGGAUUGCAAGCAAGCUGUCCCCAUGCAGCAGAUAAAUAAAUAAAUAAAUAAAGAGCAUGACUUUGUGUUUGAAGGACGAAUGCCAAGUUUCCUCUCUGGGGCCCUCUCGCAAACCUCCAUAUAUCACCUUCACAUGACCAGGCUGGCAGGCCUGCCACCCCCAGCUCUGCUUGGCUGUGAUAAACAUAGAAGACAAUGCAUUGCCUACACCCUCAGGCCCUGAAAUGAGGGAAGGGGUGGAAAAAUCCAUCGAAGCCAUUCUAGAUUUAUGUUUGAAACAUUCCAGAUUUAUGUUUUCCUUUGUCAGGGGAGAAAACAAGCAGAUAUUCCUAAAGGUGUACCUUAUAAGCCAGCGCACGUGUGAAGGGGCAUCGUGCUGUUUUUGGCAACCACGCUGAGUUCAGUUUUUGCACCAGGACCUGGACGUGCACACUGACAGGCCCUCAUCCCAUCACCUUUGGCUUCGCUGCAUCCUUCCUUGCUUUGAAUCACUUCCUCGACUCCUUCUCCAGGAAUACUUCCCAGAUUAGACUCAUCUAUUUCCCAGCCCUUCACCUCAAGCUCUGGGACUCUUCUCAGCCCCCAAUGAGUAUAGGUCAUUCCAUAAUUGUUUGUUUCUUUUCAUUCCAUGAGUUCCUAGAGAAUGUUGGCUGCCUUUCCCGCCCUCAGACCAGGAACUCCCCCAGGGAAGGGACAUGCCUCCCAUCAAUCCAGGUACUCCUACGGACAGAAUGACUGCCCUUCCACACUAUCCUUUUGGUAGGUUAAUUCACCCUGUAUUAAAAAGAAUGUGACUAUACCGUCUAAACGGGUAUUCCAAACAAGGAGAGACACUUGUGGAGCUUGAAAGUGCAUGCAAAAUGCUUGUCUAUACUUACUGUUUUUUGGAAAGAGGACUAUCGCUUUCAAGUGAUUCCUAAAUAGAUCUGUUGAGAGCCAAAGUGAGACCUUAGGAAGCACCCAGCACUGAAAAGACUGUGGUGCUGCCCUACUAGCACCCACAUAGGUAAUUCAAGACAAAACGGCACUGAGCUGUGCAAUGCCAAGCGCCCAUGAUGCCUAAGUUCAUCAGAGCUAAACAGCUCAUAAUUUUGCUAAUAUUCUUAGUGCAUGCUAAGUCCCCUUAGCAUAUAGGUGACUCCUGCCCUGGAUUUGCCAUGUAGAAAAGGUGAAAAAGCACAGUUUCUGGGGGAGGUUGAGAGCAAAGCUGGUGACUCCCAGGAUGGAGAUGGAGAACAGAACACGUCCCUCCCAGCCUCGGAGGUAGGCAAACAGGCAGGAUAUUAGUCUAUAUCUGCCACUGGAAACCUCUGUUUCCCCAAUCGGGGGAGGAGCUAAGGAGGUGGAGUCAUUUCUAUGUUUUCCAAACUGGGAUCAGACACAGAAUGAAACUAUAAUAUCAGCUGGGCUUUGCUGGGCUUGGAAACCACUGAGUUCUUACCUCCCCAAAUAUCCACGCCUACCCCUUCCCUGCCCUCCCUCUCUGAACCCAGGAAAGCAUCUGAAAUGCUCCAGUGAAGAAAGGACUUGAAGACCCUCAUGAAAUCCUCCACUGUCUUCAAAAAGCCAUCAGCCCUGAAUCUGGUCAUCCUCAUACACCCCAAACCCACUCUGCCAUGGCCAAACCAAACACUCUACGCACAGCCCUGGAAGCCAAAUCACCCAAGCCAAAGGAUCAAGGUGAAGGCUGAGACCCUGCUUCUCAACUCUCUCAGGACUCAGAGACCAUCAGGAGAUGCACAGUGGAUGUUGGAUAAUGUCUGGGGCUCCAGAUUAGGAAUUGGGAAAACCAGUUCCAGUUUCUGGCUCAGCCACUGCUGUGCUACUAGAAAUUCUAUCAACUGAAAAUUACAAUAGCACUUGACCCCCACACCCUGCCAACAACCCCAACCCCAGGAGAGCCUCAGAACUGAGGCCAGCCUCUGAACAGCAGCACCAAUGGAGGGUUCAGAAAAGGAUGAAUGGCAAAGUGAGAAAGGGGAGCUGAAGAGAAUAAAAACACAACCUAAGCCUGGAAGUGGGGCUGGGGCGGGGCGGGCAACAGGGCAAUUGCCAACAGGUAGGAGGUGGAGAGGAGGUCGUCCUGCAUACAUGGGGGAUGGGGAAGGUAAUCUCUAUCCUGUACCCCCAGCACCCUGAGAAUUAAAACCACAAUCCUGACCCAUGCACACAACAGAACACUGCGGGGCCAUAAACUACAAUGUUGGGAGGAUAUUUAUUGACGUGGAAAAAUGCUUACAUAUAUUUCAAGUGAAAAGGCAGGUUGCAAAAUAAUAUGUACAGUAUGAUGCCAUUCUUGUAAGGGGAAAAAUAUCUUUAUACAAGUCUGGAAAUAUAUACACCCAA